GUCAGAUGAUUUGAAUCUCACCCUCCUGAUUUUGCUCUGUGAGGACCCAACGUUCUUGUAGCAUGUUAGAGUUCUGAUGGCA